rnacentral:lncRNA from 1 species
CGCUGGGGAGGAGUCCGGGGCGGUGGCGCAGGGCACGCGCGCUCGGCGAGGGCGCCCCCUCCAGGGCCGACUGCCGCCUGCGGGACGGGGCUGAGUGCCGGCUGGCCUGGGCGGUGAGUUCCAGAAGCCUGCUCUUUCUAAUACGGGAGCCUCCUCGCCUCCCCCGGGCACACGCACACGCGGGCACGCACACUCGCGCGCAGCACCGGCCGGCUCGGGGUCCGCGGCCUGAUUGGAGAGCCUGCCUCUCGCAGCCUGGCGGAGGAUGCGACGCUGCCUGGGCGCGCAGCGGUCCUCUUGAGCGCGGGUCCGGCUCCGAUGAUCUCUGUUGGGUGCUCCAAGGCGGAGCGCCACUUCCCCACCCCCGUCCUCGGUCCCCUCCUCUGCCCGCUUCCAAGCGCUGCUGGAGCAUGCAUCAUGACGGCCGUGCCAGUGGAAGCCUUGGGCAGGCUCCCAAGCUCUGCACCCUUGUUGGCAAUUACUGAAGUUGAAUUUUUAUGCUCUGUGGCCCUGCUUUUAAAGGGUGGGGGGAUGUUCGAAAUCGUUGCCUCUGAUAAACACCCAAAACUGAAUUGCCCGGAUGACGCGCGGCUUUGCGUGGGUGCCUCAUUCCUGCCGGCUUAGGGGUGAGCUGUUGGGGUAACCCCCGCUUACCCCCGUCCCACGUUUCUGUGCAUUCAUUCCCCUGUCUGCGCUGGUCCCCGCCUCCAGGCACCCUGAGGACUGUGGCAGACAGGCCCUGGGGAGGAGGUUGGAGUUCCCAGGCCUGGCCUUUCUCGCUGGGAUGAGGGAGAGGACCUUCCCUCCGAGCGGUUCAGAAACGCUCCCAGGCUGGCGGGCAGCUCUCCCUGCAUCCUCAGUGAUGCCUGAAAUGUUCGCGGUGUGGGGGCUUCGUCUCUCUCCUCUGCUAGGGAAGGGCUCCGCGGGCCUCACGGGAGAGCACUGCUGUCUUAGCAGAGGCGCCUCUUGGAGCUCCAGCGUCCCUGUUAACCGGUUCCCACGAGGAGGAGGAGAGGGUCGGGCCAGGGCCAGGCCAGAACUCAAACAUUCCGGAUGGUGUUUGAGAGGGCCUGGACCUCCCAUGCCGGUCCUGGGCAUGUAUGGACUUUUAGGGAGCAAAGCUGUGACUGCGUGUGGGAGGUGUGGGACCCAGGGAGGGGAGAGAACCACCAUCCUUGUGCAAGAGCCGCCUGGUCCUGGAGGCCUGAAAGGUGUCACUGACCCAGGGGUGACAAAAUGCUCUGAAGCACCCGCAGUGCAUUUUGCGGGGAAGACCCCCACACCCCUGCACACUCCAUCGUUGGCCCGCACGGCCCCCAUCUGUAUCAGGCUUCCUCCUCAAGGUGCUAGCUGUCUUGGGUGAACACUGCCACGCACUGAGAUGGGUACAGUGAAUGCCGUCAGUGCCCUUGGCUCCUCCCCCAGCCUGGGGGUUGUCAAGGAAGGCUUCCUGGAGGAGGUGACCUCUGAGAUGUGUUUGGACCAGGCUGGGGGCAUCUGGAGUGCCUGGCUGGCUGAGUGACCCAGGUCCCUGGGGAUGUCUGGUGGCCUUUUGAGCUCAGGCUGCAGACAUUGCAGGGCUGCAAACAUCUCCUGGCAUAACAGGAAGGAGGCAGGAAAAGGAGUCUCUGGGGUCCAGGGCCCGGAGCCAAGGGGCGGAGGGGAACUGGGUCCCUCCAGGAAUCCUUGGGGUAGAGAAGCCCUUGGCUGGGCUGGGGCUGCAGUGAGUGUGGGCCAGCCUGUGCGGGAGGCCGGGGCUGCAGCUGUUUGAGAAGGAGGAGGAGAGCCCUCUUAGCCCGGACAGGGAGAGUGAGGUCUGACACUGCUCUCCAUUGUCCUGUAACAAGCAAAUCAGCGUGCGCCCUGAAAGACUGUCCGCCCCAACAGGUCGCUGAUGGCCGGGCCCGGUCUCGGCAGGAGGGGUGAAGAGGGUGCCGUGUAGUCGGGCUGCCCUGGUCCGGGGUGGGGAGGUGGGGGCGUGGGGACAGGGUGUGGGACAUCUGGGAAGGAAAACCAUGUGCAAAUGGAGCAGCCUGGGUCUGCCGAGGUGUCCUUGCCCUUCAUGCCACCCGUGACGAGUGGGGCCCAGAAGGGAAGGGUUGGUCCAGCCAGGGCCACACGACCAUGGGACACUGGGUCCUGGGUCUGGCUGCCGUGAGGAGGAAUUGGGUGCCCGCCUGCUGGGUGCACGCCUCCUGGGGUGCUGCGCUCCCUGCUCCACGGGAGGCCUCACUCAGGUGGAGGGGAUCUCGUCUCCUUGAACUGCCUCCUUGCACUUACAGGUAUGCAUGCACACACACACGUGCACACCUGCCCACGCAUGCCCAUGUGCACACAUAUCCAUGCACACCCGUGCUUGUAUACCCACAUACACAUGCCCACACAUAUGUACUGCGUGUGUGUGCGCCUGUGCAUACACACACCCAUGUACAUGCUACAGUGCAUUCACACAAGUAUCUAUGUGCCUACAUAAUGCACACUUAUGUAUGUACGUGCAUCCACAAACAGGCAUGCAUGCCCACACCCCCGCAUGUGCAUGCACAUGUAUCCACACACUGUGCACCUGCAUGUGCACAUCAGUGUAUUCAUGCACACACAUAUACUGUGUGCACACGUAUCCACACACAUGCAUCCAGUCGUGUACACAUGCUGUGUGCACACGUGCAUUAAUCCAUGCACACACACCUUUGCUUGUGUGUAUACAUGUAUCAUGCACACACGUGCAUGUGCACACACGUUGCUGCACAGUGACUCAUGCACCCACACCCAUGCAUUCAUGUCACUGCACACAUCCAUGAGCAUGUGCUCACCCCACGCAUACGCAUGCAUCCACACAGCCACACUUGCACAGGUGCCUGGGGGCUCACCCGUGCCCCUAGGCUGUGGGGAGGAUGUGUUUUUGGUGUUUUUGUUGCCUCGUUGCAGGCAGCUCUCCCCAGGCGUCAGGCUGGCUUCUGCCUUGCCGCCCUGCCUGCUCACCUCCCCCCGCAUGCUCGGCCUGUCCUUCAGCGCUCCCUCCAGCCCUGCUGGGGACUCCGGGCCUGGACACCUGCUCUUCCCCAGGCUGGCAGCCCCCUGCCUCAUCUGCCCCUGGGGCUCCCCUUUUCCUUCAGAACAUGCUGUGUGAGACUCCUCCCCAGGAGACCUCUCUGACCUCCCAGGCUGUGUGCCCCUCCGGGGCGGGCUGUCGUCAGCAGCCGUGUCUUGCUGCUGUGGGCUCUUGAGAGCAGGCCGUGUCUGUCCCACUGCCAGGCACAGAGCCUGGCUCACAGCACACAGUAGGAGCUCAGUGAAGGCGCAGUGGGGCAUGGGUGGUACAAAGAGCGGGGUGGGGGAUGCUGCAAAGGGCCUGGUGUCCCCCAUACCCCUCGGCCACGCCAGACGCAUGCGGUGUGCUGGUGCAGGUGGGGUCCGCCAGAGCACAUGGCAGCUGCCUGUGCCGGACCCCUGUGUCCCCGCCCAGCAGACCCUUUUUGCCUCCUUCUCUCAUUCCCUCUCAUUCCCUCGCUUGCUGACUGGCAUCGUGGAGUCUCGUGCGUCCCUGGGCCUCAGUUUCCCCAUCUGUAAGAUGGGAUAUUGGACUGGGUGGUUCUAAGGGCCGUGCCAGCUCUGCCCCCGCGUGGCUCCGAGCUCCUGGAAGUGGGCACUGUGUCUGGUCUGCUGCCUUCGCCCUCGGUUGCUGCCUGCAGGGGAGGGGAGCUGCCAGCUGUGCGGGCACGGGGGCCGUGGCCUGGCUGUCCCAUCUCCAGACCCAGAGGACUUGUUUUCUCCUUCCAGCUGAGCUGAGGAUCUUUUCCCCAUGUUUAUUUGAAAUUUCAUUUUUAAGGAUGAGGCAGGGAAAACACAGCUUGCUUCCCCCCACCCCCUUCGAAUUCCAGAUCCGCUUUGUCUUGUCAGAGCAUGGCCGGGAUCCGCUGGCCCGGGCGGCUCUCCGUGCGCUCACCCACAGACCGAGUCCGUUGCGAUAUUGAUCGCAUUGAUGGAUUUGGCUCCGCUGAGUUCUUACUGAGCUGGCGGAAGUCCCUCUGGAGCGAGAACUGCUUCGGGGGCCGUCUGUGAUUUGCAAUGAGUGUAAUGGAUUAGAGCAGUGGCUCAGCAUGUCUUACUGAGCGCCGGCUGUGGGCCUUACUCAGCCUAGGGCUGCUGGGGUCCUGGCGGCCGCACUGCCUCCUCGUGGUUCCCCUGCCUCCAGCCUGCCCCCGCCAGCCGGCUCCACGCUUGACUGAAGCCUCCCUUCAGGGGCUUGCUGCUGCGCACAUGCCUGAGCCCUCCUGGGCCUGGCCUCAACCCCAGAAUCAGGGGUCGGGUUGACCAGGUGUCCCCACCUGACCUCAGGAAGCCAUCUUCCCCUCCCAAGUCCCCUUGGCCUGUGAAUGGCGGUGGCAGUCCCUCCCGCUACGGCUGCCGUGCAGGCUCUGCAGAAUGAUGUCUGUGGAGCUGCGGCAGCCCGGGAGAUGCAGGAGAUGGAGGAAGCAUGUGGUGGGGCCCGAGGGGGCUUCUGACCUGCCUCGGGGCUCAGGCAGGACUUUCUGGAAGAAGCAGGGGCUCAGCUCAGAUGGGAGGACGAGAAGGCAGGCCCUGUGCGAGGGGCGGGCUGGGGAGGGUGUGUCCCAGGCAGGCAAGUGUGUACUGGGCAGCCGUCACUCACUUCUCCACGGACAGACAGGACUAUCAGAUGACCGCCGGUGACCAAACCCUUGAUUAACUCCCUCCUCUUGAGUGUGAAUAUGAUGGUUCGGCCCUUAAUCAGUUGAGUUUGACUUAAUCAACGGAGAUUAUCUGGGUAGGCCUGAGCUGAGCCGGCAAGCCCUUAAAAGGUGGUGAAGCGUCAGCGAGGCUCUCCUGCUGGCCUGAGAGAUGAAGGAGCCUCCUAAGAGGGGCCCCGGGGCGGGGACCUGCGGAUGGCCUCCGGGAGCUGAGAGCAGUGCCCGCAGGCUGCCAGCAAGAGGACAGGCGGCACCGGCUCGGGGAACUGAGCUCCACCGACAACUGUGACCUUGAGCGGGGCCUGGGGCCUCAGGUGGGAGUGCGGCCUCAGCUGACUCCUCCGUUUCAG